UACGUAGGUGGCAAGCGUUGUCCGGAUUUACUGGGCGUAAAGAGCGCGCAGGCGGCCGAGUAAGUCGAAUGUGAAAGCCCCCGGCUCAACUGGGGAAGGUCAUUCGAUACUGUUCGGCUUGAAGAUAGGAGAGGGAAGCGGAAUUUCAGGUGUAGUGGUGAAAUGCGUAGAUAUCUGAAGGAACACCAGUGGCGAAGGCGGCUUUCUGGCCUAUUAUUGACGCUGAGGCGCGAAAGCUAGGGGAGCGAACGGG
rnacentral:rRNA from 1 species